AUUGGCCGACUUGUUUGACUCUUUAAAUCCACACAUCCAUGGAAGAGAAUGAUCGAGUCUUCUUGCAUUGGCCCAUUUUCAAGUUUAAUCCUUUAGUUUGCCUAACAUCACCCCAUCUUCAGCUAUCAGAAAAAAAAUUAAUGGCGUCCACCACUAGAGUUUUGUUUGUGUUGAUCAAGCUACUUUUCUUUGCUUUUCUUCUCAUUGCCUCUUCUGUUUCUGCAACAAGCAACACUCCUUUUCACCACAAAUCGCGCACUCGUAAGAUGGGGGUGGAGGUAGCAAAAGUGAAGAAACCAUUUGCUGAUGAUGUCCCAUGGGGUGGAGGCUAUGUCCCUCCAAUAUUAAGCAACCCUUAGAUCACAUUUCCAAAUCUUUUGAUCAAUCAACUGUGCGUUUUUCCUUUAAUUUGGUAUUGUUAUUGGCAUUUUGGGAGCAUCAAUCUCUAAUCCUACAUGUAACUCGUUGUUCUCUCAAUGCUCGAGCUAUUUUCCUUAUCGAAAUUGUGUAUGAUCAUAACAUGCGAGUAUUCCCGAUAAAAAAAUAGAUGAGAAAUAAAACUCCAAUGUAAGUGUGAUGUGAGUUAGAUGAUGAAAGUGACGGUCAUGUUUAAGGUUUGUGUGCGACAAUUUAAUUGAGAUGAGAGAUGCCUUUAUUAGUUUA